AAAGAAUCCUGAAAAAUCACGGUUUUGACAAAAAUAUUAAGCAGCACUUUUUUUUAACAUUGAUGAUAAUAAAUGUUUCUUGAGUAGCAAAUCAGCAUAUUAUAAUGAUUUCUGAAAGAUCAUGUGACACUGAAGACUGGAGUAUGGCUGCUGAAAAUUCAGCUUUGCCAUUACAGGAAUAAAUUACAUUUUAAAAUUAAAUUACCAUUUAAAUUUUAAUUAUAAUAAUAUUUCAAAAUAUUAUUAAAUUAUUGUAUUUUUGAUAAAUGCACUCAAGGCGAGGAUAAGCAACUUUUCAAAAACAUGAAAAAAAAAAGACUUACCAUCCCCCAAAUUUAACUGGUAAUAUAUAUAUUAAUAUUAUAUUAAAGUGAAAACCCCUCCCUGUUUUCUGCUCUUUUAUGAAAUGUACACUGCGUAAACUACCAGUUUUCACAGGAUUGAUUUCUUUGUUUUUAGGGCUAUUGCAACAUCAUCUCUACACCACUACAAGGUUUCUCAGAAGACUCCAGUGAUGAGGAUGACCACAUGGCACCACUGGCAUCUAAAAGUGAGGAAGGCUCUGUGUGCUGCGUUUGUGGUGAAAACAUCCCCUUACUGAAUAAACUGAUAGAGCACUUCAAGACGCACACAGCUGAGGUGUCUUGCCACCUGUGUUGGACAAAGUUUGGAAGUGUUAUGUCACUGGCAUUACACUUAAAAAAUUCCCAUCCAAGGAAAAGUUUCAUGUGUGGAAUCUGCAGAACUCUCUUUAGGUGCACGUGGCAUCUGAAUGGACAUAUGGAAAAGCAUCGGAAAGACGCAAUGGAGGUAAAACCUAUGGUUAAAAUGGAACAGACAGAAGAAAUCAGCAUCAAAGAGAGCAUAAGAUACACUGAUAUGAGAAAAAUAACCUUGAGGGAUCAUUCAUAUUGUGUCUCAGAUCACGCAGUUAUAAAUGACACUUACAAUGCCAUCCAGAAACGCAUCGACAAUGAUACAAACUCCACAAAUCAAGUGUCACACAUCAAAACACAAAUCGAAAGACUGCCUAUUAUUGAUAAACAAAAUGACACCUUGAGCUUUUCCUCAUGCCCUUCGAAUCAAUCAGAGCAAGAGCAUCUAAGCUUUAAGCUGAAGGAAGAGAAUGAGGAUGAGGAUGGGCUCGGAGAAACUGCAGCUUGUGAGGUGGUUACAGAAGAGGAAAUUGGACUGAUGGAGGAUGACGAAAGUACCGACACUGAUGAUGAUGUCAACGCCAUCCCCCCUAAUAUUAGGGAUGUAACGGGCUAUUACAACAUCAUCUCUACACCACUACAAGGUUUCUCAGAAGACUCCAGUGAUGAGGAUGACCACAUGGCACCACUGGCACCUAAAAGUGAGGAAGGCUCUGUGUGCUGCGUUUGUGGUGAAAACAUCCCCUUACUGAAUAAAUUGAUAGAGCACUUCAAGACGCACACAGCUGAGGUGUCUUGCCACCUGUGUUGGACAAAGUUUGGAAGUGUUAUGUCACUGGCAUUACACUUAAAAAAUGCCCAUCCAAGGAAAAGUUUCAUGUGUGGAAUCUGCAGAACUCUCUUUAGGUGCACGUGGAAUCUGAAUGGACAUAUGGAAAAGCAUCGGAAAGACGCAAUGGAGGUAAAACCUGUGGUUAAAUGGAACAGACAGAAGAAAUCAGCAUCAAAGAGAACAUAAGAUACACUGAUAUGAGAAAAAUAACCUUGAGGGAUCAUUCAUAUUGUGUCUCAGAUCAAGCACUUACAAAUGACACUUGCAAUGCCAUCCAGAAACGCAUCGACAAUGAUACAAACUCCACAAAUCAAGUGUCACACAUCAAAACACAAACCAAAAGAUUGCCUAUUAUUGAUAAACAAAGCAAUAGCUUCAGCUUUUCCUCAUGCCCUUUGAAUCAAUCAGAGCAAGAGCAUUUAAGCUUUAAACUGAAGGAAGAGAAUGAGGAUGAGGUUGGGCUUGGAUAAACUGCUGCUUGUGAGGUGGCUACAGAGGAGGAAAUUGGACUGAUGGAGGAUGACGAAAGUACUGACACUGAUGACGAUGUCAACACUGAUUCACUACCCCCUGGUGACACGGCGCACAACCCGGAUGAGGACUUCAGCUCAGAAACUGAUGACAGUGACUCAAGAAGCAGCUCCUAUAGCCGUUACCGAAAGAAAAAGAGACGAAAGAAACAGACUCCCGACAGUAAAAGACCUGCAAAUAGGAAUCUAGAGUCAGUUGACACAGCAGAGAAAUCGCCAAAUUCGCUAAUUUGGAGAAGGACAUGGAUGAUUGCAGGAACAAACUGAGGUUUGCUUGUUGUCUGUGCAACAUGGUAUGUGAGAAUGAAGAGUUGCUGCUGAAGCACACGACUGAAAAACACCCCGCAGCUGGGUAUAUCUGUGCAUAUUGCCACAGUGUUUUUCCUAGACUGGACAGUUUCAAAAAUCAUGUCUGUUUGAGAAGACCAACAGGCGGCAUGAACUUGCCAGCCACCCUCGUAACCCAAUUACCUUUAUCCGGUCAAAUAAGACCUUCUGCUCCUGCUUUAUACACCAUUCAAAACUCUAUUAAAAUGAUCAAAAUAGCUCAGACAGUGAAUAAAAUUUCCCCAGCCCCUGAUCCUCCA
ensembl:lncRNA